rnacentral:rRNA from 1 species
UACGGAGAGGGCUAGCGUUAUUCGGAAUUAUUGGGCGUAAAGGGCGCGUAGGCUGGUUAAUAAGUUAAAAGUGAAAUCCCGAGGCUUAACCUUGGAAUUGCUUUUAAAACUAUUAAUCUAGAGAUUGAAAGAGGAUAGAGGAAUUCCUGAUGUAGAGGUAAAAUUCGUAAAUAUUAGGAGGAACACCAGUGGCGAAGGCGUCUAUCUGGUUCAAAUCUGACGCUGAAGCGCGAAGGCGUGGGGAGCAAACAGGAUUAGAUACCCUGGUAGUCCACGCUGUAAACGAUGAGUGCUAAA